UACGAAGGGGGCGAGCGUUGUUCGGAUUUACUGGGCGUAAAGGGCGCGUAGGCGGCCCUCUUUGUCGCGUGUGAAAGCCCCGGGCUCAACCUGGGAAUGGCGCGCGAAACGGGGGGGCUUGAGUUCGGGAGAGGAGCGUGGAAUUCCCAGUGUAGAGGUGAAAUUCGUAGAUAUUGGGAAGAACACCGGUGGCGAAGGCGGUUAGCUGGGCAGUUGCUGACACUGAGGCGCGACAGCGUGGGGAGCAAACAGG
rnacentral:rRNA from 1 species